CGUGCAAAAGGAGGUGGAGGAGGCGGAGGAUUCCCCCCCCACCCCCCACCCCCUCUGGUCGGGACCCCAGAGCAGAGAAGGCUCAGGCAGGAGAAAGGUGAAGAAGAUGAAGAAGCUGCUGGUGUUUUUGCUGUGCGGGGUCCUGCUGACCAUCUCCACAGAGGCCAACCCCAUCAUCAAGGAGAGCUUCGCCAAGCAGCUGCUCCGCAGCAAGAGGCAGGAACGGCCAAGGAAGGCUGGCCACCCCGAUGAGCCAAUGAGGGAGCAUCUGCUCCACAUGCAGGUUCUGGAUCAGAGGGCCCAGGAGGUCAACCUGGAGCACUGGCUGAACCCCCAUUGCUACCCUCGAUGUGACAGGAACUACGGAUACCCCGUCUGAUCACGUAAAGGACCAGAGAUGACAACAUGGACUCAACAAUGAAAAUCCCUGUAGAAUAAAAUGAUGGACUCUCUAUCUCUCUCUCUCUCUCUCUCUCUCUCUCCUGGAACAUGACCAUGUAAAGAAUAACUGGCCGUGCAUGUAAUCUAACUGUAGCCUGUUCCAGCUGUGUAGUUUGCUGUAGUUUUUACAUUUUCCCCCUGAAUUGUGUAGGCUAUCACGCACCAUCACAGAGUGACAUGUUGUAUUAGUGAGUAGCCUGCUAUCACAAAUAAAUGUGUAAAAGUGCAUGCA